AAUAUUCCCUAGCCUAGAAUAUUCCCUAGCCUAGCCUAGAAUAUUCCCUAGCCUAGAAUAUUCCCUAGCCUAGAAUAUUCCCUAGCCUAGAAUAUUCCCUAGCCUAGAAUAUUCCCUAGCCUAGAAUAUUCCCUAGCCUAGCCUAGAAUAUUCCCUAGCCUAGCCUAGAAUAUUCCCUAGCCUAGCCUAAAAUAUUCCCUAGCCUAGCCUAGAAUAUUCCCUAGCCUAGCCUAGAAUAUUCCCUAGCCUAGCCUAGAAUAUUCCCUAGCCUAGCCUAGAAUGUUCCCUAGCCUAGCCUAGAAUAUUCCCUAGCCUAGCCUAGAAUGUUCCCUAGCCUAGAAUGUUCCCUAGCCUAGAAUAUUCCCUAGCCUAGCCUAGAAUAUUCCCUAGCCUAGAAUAUUCCCUUUCAUUUAAAAGUAGAGAAUUAUGUUGUUUAUUUUCUUUUCAUUUGUUUGUUUCUUCAUAAUCCUACUGCUGGCAAUGGAGGAGAAAGGUGUUGAUGCAUGUUCCUGAUUGGUUUCCAACUCUGUUUCCGGUCUCUUGUUAAUACGAUGAGGUAAUCUGCCAACUCAUUACGUUCAGCACAUAGUUAACUAUGAACUGUUCAUCCCUCUGGAGAACUAAGGUUGUAUUAAUUCAUCACUGAUGUAGGCAGGCGACCCAAAAGGUAAGGCACCCUAUUCCCUAUAUAGUGCACUACUAUUGACCAGAGCCCAUAGGGCUGUGGUUAAAAGUAGUGUAAUAUGUAGAGAAUAGGGUGCCAUUUGGAGCACACACCAUAGAGUGAUUAUAGGAGUAGUAUCUCUCUAGAGCAGUAUCUUACUCGGUGAGCAUACUGACAAAAUAAGGAAGCCUUGUCCAAGCCAGAGCGAACCAAGGGGCAGGAGCCUGUGUCCUGUUUCUGAAGAGUGAGGCAACUUAAUGUACUAGUACACCCCCUGGACAGGACACUAGUCUGUCUGACUAUACUGGUAUAUAUUACUGUACUAGUACACCCCCUGGACAGGACACUAGUCUGUCUGACUAUACUGGUAUAUAUUACUGUACUAGUACACCCCCUGGACAGGACACUAGUCUGUCUGACUAUACUGGUAUAUAUUACUGUACUAGUACACCCCCUGGACAGGACACUAGUCUGUCUGACUAUACUGGUAUAUAUUACUGUACUAGUACACCCCCCCUGUCUGACUAUACUGGACACUAGUACUCCUCCUGGACAGGACACUAGUCUGUCUGACUAUACUGGUAUAUAUUACUGUACUAGUACACCCCUAGUCUGUCUGACUAUACUGGUAUAUAUUACUGUACUAGUACACCCCCUGGACAGGACACUAGUCUGUCUGACUAUACUGGUAUAUAUUACUGUACUAGUACACCCCCUGGACAGGACACUACUCUCUGACUAUACUGGUAUAUAUUGUAUAUUUGAUUGUGUUGACAUAUUGUGACGACCAGAGGUGUCACAACCCAACCACUGUCACGUGACCUAUACCUACAGGGAAGAGCUUCUCUGUCGUAUUGUGUUUGCACUGGAUCAAUGUGAACGAAUGUAUACAAUGUUAUGUUGUAAAUGUGCCUGGUUUUGUACCCCAUGUUUAUCCAUGUGUAUUGGUUGAUAUGAUAAGCUAUGUGUUAUGUAUGUAAGUUAAAAAAAAAAAAAAGCUAAACAUUGUUUUGAAUAUAUGAUCACAUUAAUAAUACCGAGAAUAUGCAACCAUGUUAAAUAUGCUAAUCAUGUAUAAUAAAAUAAGAAUAUAGAUACAUCUAGCUGACAUUUUGAAUGAGAUAUUCCCCAUAAUGCACUAUAAACAUUUUGAAUGAGAUAUUCCACAUAAUGCACUAUAAACAUUUUGAAUGAGAUAUUCCCCAUAAUGCACUAUAAACAUUUUGAAUGAGAUAUUCC
ensembl:lncRNA